rnacentral:lncRNA from 1 species
UGAAGGUGGUGUUUUUAAGGCUCAUCUCACUUUCCCAAAAGAUUAUCCCCUCCGACCUCCUAAAAUGAAAUUCAUUACAGAGAUUUGGCACCCAAAUGUUGAUAAAAAUGGUGAUGUUUGCAUUUCUAUUCUUCAUGAACCUGGAGAGGAUAAAUAUGGUUAUGAGAAGCCAGAGGAACGCUGGCUGCCUAUCCAUACUGUGGAAACCAUCAUGAUUAGUGUCAUUUCUAUGCUGGCAGAUCCUAAUGGAGACUCACCUGCAAAUGUAGAUGCUGCGAAAGAAUGGAGGGAAGACAGAAAUGGAGAAUUUAAAAGGAAAGUUGCCCGCUGUGUAAGAAAAAGCCAAGAAACUGCUUUUGAGUGAUGUUUAUUCAAUAGCUAGUAACUUCACUUAUUUCAGGCUUCUUAAAUGGGGACUGAAGCAUCUCUGGAAUCCUCUUAUACUGAGUAUUUUAUAUACAUGGUCUCCAAUUGAGAAACAUGGCACUGUUUUUCCUGCACUCUACCCACCUAUUGCUGGACUUCUGUUGUAACAAGUUGGCAAACUCUGGCUGGAACUGGGCUGCAAUAAAACAUGCCAGUCAUUAAUGCUGACAAGAGCCUAACAAGUGCCAACUUACAGAUGAUUACGCAUUUUGAAUUCUAAUGAACUGUUUUAACCUUCAGGAAGAAUUGUAAAGACCUGUACAUAGCACAACAUGAUCCGGAUAAUAUAUAUACUGUUCAUGUACAUCCACAAACACACCUUGUACCAAAUAAUGCUGUCUUGUAGUAGAAUAAGAAUCGUGUAAAUUCUAAAAGACUUUAGCAGGUUUUCUUUUCCCAUUCAUCGUUUUUUAUCAGUUCAAAAAGAUUUCUUAAAGCAUGUCAGGUGAAAACCAAUAAGGAUUAAAAGUUUCCAUAUAAUUUCCUUUAAACCAUUGAGUCUUUCAUUACACUCUUUCCAUUUACUAAUCUUUUAUAUUUUCUUUGUUUUUGGCACACUCCCCCUUCCUUUUAUCUCUUCUAUCUGCCAGAAAGUUCUCAAAUCAUUUAGCUAAAAUACUGAAAUACUAGAAAAUUACUUGAUUUUCACGAUGACUUCAGAGGUGGGGUCAUCACUAGGUGCUUUGUCCUUUUUGUACUCUGAUUCACCCAUCUCUUGGAUUGGAUGUAGCAAUAACAUUUUCUGGCUGUUGAGAGCUCUUGAUCCUAGUCACUAUCUCCUGAGAACUUUAAAAAAAAAAAAAGUAAAGUCUGUUCUAAGUUCAUCUUAGUGAAAUUUAUUCCAAACAAUACAAAAAUCCAGAUUUGGUUUUAUUUUUGCCCUUAAGUUGUCUGAUAUUAAGGUUGGAUGAAUAUAGCAUGCGCAGCUACAGGCUUUCUACAUCUGGGAUUGCUAUUACAAAUGCUAUUUGUCCUAUUACCCUUCUCCUUAGCCCAUAUUUGUUUCUUCUUACAGCAGAUUUUCCUCACCUAUUGUACAAAGAAAUUGCGAUGUAUAUUUUCAUGUAAUUUGAUUUUGGAAUUUUGUCACCUUAUGUAGUGAGUUCUUCCAAAAUAUAAUUUUUUUCCAAUAAUUGUCAAGUUGUUGGCUUUUAUUGUAUUAAAUGAAGGUUAUAGUACUGAAUACCAGAGAAGUGCAGUUUAGAAAAAUCUCAGGUUGAUUCCUUAUGCAAACAAACUUAAUACUUGAAAAUCUCAUGGCCAUGGCAGUAUACUAUUGGGUUUUAUUUAGAUUCUUUAUCUGAAUCUGAAAGUAUUACAGGGGAAAGUCCUUUGCUAACUGACAUACAGAAUUUGUCACUGACAUAGUGCACUUAGAUUUGAUUUUUCUUUGAGCAUAAGUAUUGUUUCCUAAGUGGUUUUAUGAAACAGCUUUGGUGAUGGGUAAAAUUAGUACAUUAAAUGUUAAAGACAGGCAGGCCUAAGCUCCUGUCUGGUUUUGGCCAAGAAUGGGAAGUUGUGUUUGGUAUGUAAGAGCUAGAGCAUAAAACAGUACCUGUUACUUGAGACUGUUUGAUUGUGAGGAUAGGUGUGUUUCUACCCUUGUAGUUUGGAUAAGUCUUUUGGCAGAAAAGGGAAUGAAAGGAUUCCUGUUGGUGUCAGACCUUUCAACUUCUUAUGUCUUUUAAAGCAGAGGGGAAAUGUAUCAAGAUGUGGCUAUGAUACAGCAACAUUUUCAAAUUAGUUUUCUCAGAAGCAUUCUGAAAUCCUAUAAACAUGAAAACCCAUAAAUGUGUAGCAACUGUGAACACUUGGUUUCAUUGGAGCCCAAUAAUCUUCAAGAACUUUUAGACACCUGCUCCCCACCCCAGACUAGAGUUAUUCUACAGUGCUACUGUCCUAUCAGAAAUUGUUCCCACAAUGGUUGCUUUUGCAAAUACGGAGUUGGAUUUUUGCUCUCCUAUUGCUGUGAUUCUAGCAGUCUGUUAAAUCCAGGGUUUGACUGCUCAGCAAGUAGUAAAUCACCUAGUAACUCAGGGACAACUGUUUCUGCACUUGUAAGUGGCACUGUAACCAUGUGGGCCAGAUCAAGGACUACUGGAAAGGUAGGAGUGAUUGCCUUUCUCCUGAAGCUCUUUCUCCUCAUGGUGCCCUGACCAGUCUAUACGCCUGAAACAGAAGCCUGAGUGUUAGGGCUUGCUUUUCUGUCAGAGGUGUCAUCUGUGCCUUUCCUAGUGUUCAUCUGACAAUGUGGAUUUCAAUGCCUCUACAUUUGACUUAAACUCACAUUCAGGUGGCACUAAACCAAGUGGCAUUCAUCCCACUGAUGCAUCAUCAUUAGAGUGAGGCAGUUGUGUUUUAAAAACAGUUCCAUCACUACCCCAAAACCCUGCCACCUAUGCCACCCAUCAGCUAUUCCUUUAGAUUAUAGAAUUGUUGGCUGUUAACUAAUGUUCAACGUUCUUAUAGAGGAUUGCAAAUUUUAGUCUUUUUUUAAUGAGAUAAUAUUGAUGGCUUUUUGACCUCAGAGUUUAAAAUCACACAGAGUUGAUCUUCUUGUCAUUAGAAGGUAAUGCUUGAACAUUUGAUUUUUCUAUUUUGUGAUACCUGGGUGUCAUAUUAUCUUUUAAUGGCCUUUGGUCCCAGUUGUGAAAUUUUAUUUAUAUGCUCAUUCAUACUCUACAAACCUUCCUCCUUCGGGUCUUGGUGCCUGUGUUUCAUUGUCUGGUCUCUAGUUGGUGGAAUUACCCUUUUUUGUACUGCCACUUCUCAAUAUUUUUGAAGUUUGACAUAAUGUUGCUUCAUUCCAGUUUUUUUUUUAAGUUCUGUAAUUUGACUGUAUUUAACUAUGUGAGCUUUUUUUUUGUGUGUGAUGUUUACUGUAUUGUUGUAAAGCACCUUAAUCAUGUGAUGGGUGCUCUAGAAAUCAAUAAAUGAUGACUUAGAGGCUGU